rnacentral:lncRNA from 1 species
CUGGCAGUGGCAAUCCUCUCCGGUCCCCUUCCGGGCUGUGGGAGCUUUGUUCUUUUGCUCUUUGCAAUAAAUCUUGCUGCUGCUCGCUCUUUGGGUCCACAUUGCCUUUGUGAGCUGUAACACUCACGGCGAAGGUCUGCAGCUUCACUCCUAAAGCCAGAGAGACCACAAACCCACCGGGAGGAACGAACAACUCCAGACGCGCGGCCUUAAGAGCUGUAACACUCACCGCGAAAGUCUGCAGCUUCACUCCUAAAGCCAGCGAGACCACGAACCCACCAGGAGGAACGAACAAUUCCAGAUGCGCCGCCUUAGGAGCUGUAACACUCACCGCGAAGAUCUGCAGCUUCACUCCUGAGCCGGCGAGACCACGAACCCCACCAGAAGGAAGAAACUCCGGACACGCCGCCUUUAAGAACUAUAACACUCACGGCGAGGGUCCACGGCUUCAUUCUUGAAGUCAGUGAAACCAAGAACCCACCAAUUCCGGACACAGCAGGAUCCCACCCACAGAACCGCCAGGUGCACAGCUGCAUAUCCUCAGGGGAAAACUCCCCUCCCCUGCCACCUUACUGAUAGGCUUCACUUCCCAGAGAACUUUCCCAAUCCUGUGCAAUGCCUGAGUGGUACAUUGUAUUCUAUGAGAAUGGCGCCCCCGCCUCCAGAGUUGUGCAACAAGACUUCCAUGAAUCAAAGCCCAUCGCUGGCUGCCUCCUCUAGCCCUGCAUAGCCCAGGUACAUCUGAAAGGAGUGAGAAGUGUUUUGAGGGCUCUCCCUGUCUCUUCCUGCACCUCUCUCUUGUGAUCCCAGAAGCUACAACCUCAGCCCAGAUUAGCAGGCUGAGGGGUCAGGAGGCUGUCACUGGAGCUGUUGAGCUCAUGAACACGCCGAAGUUGCUGCGCUCCAGAAAUGUGGAAGUUGGAAUGAAGAGCCACCACUGCUGCCACCAACAUGAAGCUUGACCAAGCAAGCCAAGAAAAGAUGGCCAAGAGCCUCUGCCUUCCUUCUGCCUUCUGCAACGCAAUGAAAGUUUCAAAGAAAUCUCUGGAGCCGGGAAUGGUGUUGUGUGCCUGUAGUCCCAG